UUGAGGCUGAGAAGAGGCAAG
rnacentral:miRNA from 1 species